rnacentral:lncRNA from 1 species
CGCCUGCAGAAGAAGGAUCCAGGGAAGGUACCAGACAUCACUGUGACAGCUCAUUCUCAUGGGAACUAAUCCAGUCCCAUGAGACCUGAUUUACUCCGCCCAUGACAGCAUUAACCUAGUCAUGAGGGUGGAGCCCCAUGACCUAAAUACCUGCCAUGAAGCCCAAGAAAGUUUCUGUCACCUCCACACUGUCACAUGGCCUCCUGCUCAUGAACCUUGGGGACAGACCCCACCCUAGCCAGAGCAUCACUUUGAUGUCCUUUCUUGGCCCUGACUGAGAGGAUGUAAUAGGUGACUGACAAACAUGGGAGCGCUUGGAUGAGAAUCAGCAUAUUGUACCUAAGACCCCCAAAUCCAACCCAGGAUGCAGUUUCAUCUGCGGUGGCCUCAGGGCAAUUGUGGGGCUCUGUGUUGCUUGUUUGUCGUUCAAAUGGAAGUCAAGGAUUCGGGGAACUGUCUCCUCCCAGAGUUGGACAACUAAAUCAC